rnacentral:rRNA from 1 species
CAACCUACCCUAUACAGGAGGAUAGCCUAGGGAAACCUGGAUUAACCCUUCAUAGUAUUAUUGGAUGGCAUCAUUUGAUGUUAAAAACUGAGGUGGUAUAGGAUGGGCAUGCGUCUGAUUAGUUAGUUGGCGGGGUAAUGGCCCACCAAGACGAUGAUCAGUAGGGGGUUCUGAGAGGAAGAUCCCCCACACUGGCACUGAGAUACGGGCCAGACUCCUACGGGAGGCAGCAGUAGGGAAUAUUGGUCAAUGGAUGCAAGUCUGAACCAGCCAUGCCGCGUGCAGGAAGAAGGCCUUCUGGGUUGUAAACUGCUUUUGCCAGGGGAUAAAAUUUCCAUGCGUGGAAAACUGAAGGUACCUGGUGAAUAAGCCACGGCUAACUACGUG